UCAGCCUCUUACCGGCAGUGUGGCCUUAGACAAGUUAUUUAUCCUUUUGCAGGUCUCCUUUUUCUGUUCUGUGAAAUGGGAAUGACACCUACCUCACAGGGGCCGAGGGCCCAAUAAAGCCAUACCUGCCUACAGAUCCUCUGCAUGUGCCUAAGCAAGUGAAGCGAGCAACGACGCACUUGAAGAACUUUCUCAGGAUGCUGCAUCCUGGGACAGGCAAAAGCAGCCAUCGCUGACAGACCUGUCUGCAAAGCUGCAUUCAGAGGACAGCCAGGCACCCAGAUGGACAGCCAGGUGAGCAUGAGGCUCAGCAACACACGAGACACAGUCCCCAGCACACACGCCCCUGAGACUGCCACAGUGCCACCCAGCGCCUGCCCUCAGACACACUCCCGUCUGCGACCCUGUCCUCACCUCCUCCUGUUACUGUACAAAAGAUAAAGAAACCAAGGCCCAGAGAAGCAGCUUGCCUGAGGUUACCACUUUAGGGAGCGGUGGAGCCAGACUUUAAAUCCAUGACCACCCGACUUGCCCUGGCUCACUGCCUCCCAGUGCACCUGCAGCACUCAAGUAGGGCCAGCAUGCACAGGUCACGCAGCUGAUUUCUGGCAAAUGAACUGAGCCUUCAGUGUUUUAAAGGAAAAAGCCUUUCUAAUACCCCUUUUAAAAAAUCAGAUUGGGCGUGGUGGCUCAUACCUGUAAUCUCAGCAAUUUGGGAGGCUAAAGCGGGUAGAUCACUUGAGGUCAGGAGUUUGAAACCAGCCUGGUCAACAUGGAGAAACCCCCGUCUCUUACUAAGAACAUAAACAUUACCCAAGUGUGAUGGUAGGCGCCUGUAAUCCCAGCUACUCAGGAGGCUGAGGCAUGAGAAUUACUUAAACCUGUGAGGUGGUGCUUGCAGUGAGCCAAGAUUGUGCCACUGCACUCCAGCCUGGGUGACAGAGCAAGAUUCUGUCUCAAAAAAAAAAAAAAAAAAAAAAGAUUAGUGUAGCUUUACUGCUGUCUAAUCACAAAAUGAUUGGAGCCACAAUUCAAACAUGAUCUCAAAAGUACCUACCAUUUACUGAGUCCGAGCUCCAUGCCAGAUGCAUAAACAAGCAUUUUCUGCAUUUCACCUAAUCCUCACAACCACCAAAUUAAACAGUUAACCUAACUAGAGCCACAGAUCUAGUCAAACCACAUCUGAUUCUCAAGUCACUGCUCCCAAGCAGCUAACACCUUUGAAUAAUGGAAACUUAACAUAAAUGCUGGAAUGGUACUUAGUUUACUGCUCUAAGCAGUGUUUUAAAACCUACCUU